UACGAAGGGGGCUAGCGUUGGUCGGAAUUACUGGGCGUAAAGAGCGCGUAGGCGGCUUACCAAGUUGGGGGUGAAAUCCCGGAGCUCAACUCCGGAACUGCCUUCAAAACUGGUAGGCUCGAGUCCGGAAGAGGGGCGUGGAAUUCCCAGUGUAGAGGUGAAAUUCGUAGAUAUUGGGAAGAACACCGGUGGCGAAGGCGGCGCCCUGGUCCGGUACUGACGCUGAGGCGCGAAAGCGUGGGGAGCAAACAGG
rnacentral:rRNA from 1 species